rnacentral:rRNA from 1 species
CCCGGGCCUUGUACACACCGCCCGUCACACCAUGGGAGUGGGUUGCAAAAGAAGUAGGUAGCUUAACCUUCGGGAGGGCGCUUACCACUUUGUGAUUCAUGACUGGGGUGAAGUCGUAACAAGGUAAUCGUAGGGGAACCUGCGGUUGGAUCACCUCCUUA